CAGAAACACUGCAGCUCUCGAGUGGCUGCAGCAGGCCAGGUGGCAGGCAGAGAGUCCUGAGAACAACCAGUCCCAGAAGAAGCUGGUACCUGAAAUGAUCUGAAGUAUCAGCCUUGACCUGGGAGUCCGAGCUGGUAUACGGACAGCUCCAUGGUUGAAGACCUUUAUUUGCCCACCUAAAGGCCCUUGAAAUGGUGAGACGCCAGAUCUGGAAACAACUAAAAGAAGUAUAUAUGCUGAAGACUCACACGUGCUGCAUCAGUACCAAGUAGGAGAUGAUGUUUUUGUCCAGUGUCGAGUUGGGAAUCUUCAGCCUCGUUGGAAAGGGCCAUACUUGGUGCUCUUGACGAAUUGCAGUAUCUGGGGCUUUUAACACCACCACCAGUCAGGAUGCUUGUGUUUGGGGGACUAAUUAUAGGCUGACUCUUACUGAGCUUACAGGUGUAGGGUCAAGCCUGGGAAGUACACUGGCUGUCUACAAACGUUUGUGGAAUGAGACUCUUAAGAGCCCUAAGACUCCUGACACCAGGUACUUGGUUCCUGGUUUAGAUAGGUGGGCUUGUAGGACAGACCUGACACCUUGUGUGUCGACAUCGGUUUUUAAUGACACCAAACAUUACUGUGUGCUUGUACAACUGGUCUUAUUCCUAAGAUGUUUCUAAGAUGUUUGCAGCGCAGCUGCUUUAGCCCGGCAGAGACAGUUGUCAGUCCCUGCAAGAUCCCCAGGCGGGCUGGUGGAGCCUGCCAUGCGACAAGCGGCUACAGUUUCCCACCAGCGGGAGGGCACGCAUGGGCAGUGGUGGCGGGUAACAGACACAUAGACACAGAAAAUAGCCAUAAACAUUUAUUAAGAGAGAGAGAGAGAGAGAGAGAGAGAGAGAGAGAGAGAGAGAGAGACAUGGUGGUGAAGGUCAGAGGUAAAAAAGGAGUGGGCGUGGCUAGGGCAGGGACGGAAAGAAUAACAACUGGUACCUAGGGUCUUUUAUCAUCCAGCUAACAUGCUUACAAACACCCAACUUGCUUUAGACAAGAACCCAUUCCUCUGACACUAGCAGUAAUCCUGGGCCUUGGGGUAGGUGCUGGUGUUAGGACAGGUACCGCUGCCCUAAUACAGGCCCCUCAGUACUUUAAUGAAUUAAGAAUAGCCAUGGAUAAAAAUGAAUGAGAGUCUCCCAACUCUGGGGGUAUUUCGACCCCAAGAUGACUAGAAACCAGCCUUCACAGGUCCCCCAAGAAAGACUUAGCCCUGCGGUGGUGACACACGCCUUUAAUCCCAGCACUUGGGAGGCAGAGGCAAGCGGAUCUCUGUGAGUUCGAGACCAGCCUGGUCUACAAGAGCUAGUUCCAGGACAGGCUCCAAAACCACAGAGAAACCCUGUCUCGAAAAAACAAAAACAAAAAACAACAACAAAAAAAAGACUUCGACACCCACAAAUAUGCAGGUAGGAGUAUUGAGAAUCCGCCAUCCCAGCUCGCUCAACCUGCUAUUACUAACUCCCCACCUUUUUAUUAUAAGAAAAAGAUGGAAUAUUAUAAUCUGCUGUCCUGGUUGUCACCUGGGUACCCUGUCCUUUUAAGAGACAAGCCCCGCCCACUCCCAGUCUCACCAGAGGUUUACCCCAGCUCUGUACCUGUCUGUCUCUUGCUUGUCCCUCGGUUUACCCCGUAUUAUGAAUGAUAACAGAAAGCCCUCGUGGGAGAGAAGGGGAAAACUGGAGUCAAGACUGUUUUUGUGUGACCGCAGGGCUUUGUCCUUUCCUACCACCGCAGCUUCUUUUGGCCGGGUUUAUAGUUUGAUUGAGUUGCCUCCCAUUUCCCUCCCUCCACUGAUAAUGAUGAAGUUUGCUUAUCUGGGAAGCUCUGCUCCCGCCUCACCCUUCCGUUUCAAACCCUGCCCCUCAGGAAGCCCUCUAAGCUACAGUAGCUCCUCUCUUCCCCCCCCCCCAGGAUGUCGCCAGAUCUAAGAACGCCUAGUUCCUACACCUGCAGUGUGAUUUCUCUCCUGUUUCCUUUCCCUCGCAAGCCACCCAGGACUCUGCUUCACUCAGAUUAAACCUGGUCUUAUUAAUUUGACUUUAUUUGGUUUACUGCAUCAGCAGAGAAACCUACACAACUGGGUAUCAAACACUUAUCAAUGUGAAAUGAUUCUUUUAUUAUUUAUUAUUGAACAAAUCCCAUGCACAAAUAUCAAAGGACAAAGAAAAUGUAGGACAGAUCCAGUACCCCGCGAGCACCUACUGCUCUUGGUUUCCUGGCUCCAAAAUGGCCUGCACAACCUCUGGUCACACCUCUUUCCUCCUCUGUGUUCAUGUGGAUGUCAGAGGAAUCGGUUCUCGCCUUCCCAUGUGGGUUCCAGGAACUGAACUCAGGUCCUUGGGCUUGGAGGCAAGCACCCUGACCGUUAGAGACAGGGUCUUAGGUAAUCCAGGUUGGUAUCUUGAAUUUAGCCUUACCGGAGCCCUCCUCUCCUCUGUACAACCCUUCUCUGCCUCUUACCCUUCAAACUGUGAGUCAGAAUAAUCAUUCCUUCCUUGAGCUGAUUGUUGUCAUGUAUUUUAACCACAACAGUGAAAGAGGCAACCAUUACAAUAAAUAGAUAUAAAAAAUAAGACUUAUUGCUGGGCAUGAUGGCACACACCUUUAAUCCCACAAAGCAAAUUCCAGGAUAGCCAGGGCUGUUACACAGAGAAACCCUGUCUCAAAAAACAAACAAAAGGGCUGGAGAGAUGGCUCAGAGGUUAAGAGCAUUGCCUGCUCUUCCAAAGGUCCUGAGUUCAAUUCCCAGCAACCACAUGGUGGCUCACAACCAUCUGUAAUGAGGUCUGGUGCCCUCUUCUGGUCUGCAGGCAUACAUGCAG